rnacentral:rRNA from 1 species
AUGCUAGUCUCGCUGGAUCUCGCGUCGUCAUGUUUGUCGCUAGUUAGCCUCCCGGAAGAGGUGGAGUAUAAGAGCACCGGCAUGUCGCUUGCAAAUGAUGAUUCUGGAGUCCAUCUGAUCCAUGUAAAACGAUCCAAUCUUCGCAUCUGGCUUUACACGACGGAUAAGGAAGGCCUCGACGACUGGUUACUUGUGGAUACUAUUUGUUUGCGUGAGAUAUGUGUCCAUCACAUGAUAUCAACCAGAAUGUUUGACGAUGUGGGUAAUUCUGCUCUUAUUCUACAUGAAGUUGCGGUCGAUUCAGGGUUUCUUCUCUUGGAGACGGAUGGUGUCCUCUACCUGUUUGAUAUUAAACACAAGGAGGCAAAGAAGGUUUAUGAGGUUACACAAGAGGAUAGAUACAUAUAUGGAGUUACACCCUUUAUGAUGGUUUGGCCUCCUAAAUUCCCUGUG